ACACGGUGGCACAGUGACACGGUGGCACAGCACCACAGGGCAGCCAGCAGCUCACCAGAGCCCAGCUCCACCAAGCAAAACCAGGAUAUUUCUGCAGCAUUGGAGAAAAUUAAUGGACUGAUAAUAGAAGAAAUCUCCAGGUUUGGGGACUGGGAGGUUGAAGUGCCAAUCCUUGCUGGGCAACCCGAGAGCAGCUGGCAAGAGCCUUGCACAGAGCCUGUGUGACCCACUCUGAGCUGUCAGUCAGGAGCAAGAUGAGCUACAGCUGCCAAGUUGUUUCUCGUGCUGUCACUACAGCAGUGGUGACACUUUGGUCUCAGCCCGACCUUGCAGCCUCACCUAAAGCAGCACAACACUCCUGGGGAUUCCUGCAGGCACAGAGCUUUGCCGUGCUGACAAACAUCAGCAGGCUGAAGUGGCACAGGAGCUCCAAGGAGCACCAGGAGCCACCAGCAAUGCCCCACCAGGCUGGUUGAGGGGAGGA
rnacentral:lncRNA from 1 species